AGGUUUGUUCCAGUACCAGGAGAAACUGGAAGUACUCCGGAGCAAACAGGGAGAAAAUCGUUCCUGUAUUAUCUUCUUUUCUUUUUCUUCUUCUGGUAGCAAAUCGGAGUGAAAAGGAGCAAGAAUUUUUUGCUCCGGAGCAACAGGGAGUGACUUCCGUGUACUGGAACAAACCUAUUAUUCCGCUCAGAGGCUCGCGAAAUUUUGACAGAUUCCGAUAAAAAAAUAUUAAAAAACUCAGUCAUGUUUUUUUUCUAUUAUUUUGUUCAUCGCAAUUUGUCAAAAUUUUUUGGUCGUGAAUUUUAUUUUAUGAUGCAAUAUUUGAUAAUCGAAUGCACGCUCGAACAAACGCAGAUUCAGUCGCAACGGUGAAAAGUUAUACGAUAGGUGAAUAAGUUGAAAGAAUGGUGAAAACUCAUGCAAACUUUCAAAAUCACUAGAGCAGUCUUUUUCAUCAGCACCAUCCAUCGAUCUACCAUAGAUUAGUGUCGUUGCGAAAAAGUGUAAAGUUCCGUUGUCCCAAAUCACCCGAUAACUUUCUUUCGGAAGCCAAAUUGCCAGUUUGGAUUUCUAGCUUAUGCAUCGAGGCGUGCUGUAUGACGGGACGGAAUAUUCUAAAUUCAAUAUCCAGUAGUAGCAAACAGGCAUUAACAAUAUGGUUUCGAUAGUCAUGGGCAUUCUGGAGCUAUCUCGCAAAGUGGGUUUCGUCACCGGCUACGAAUCGAUUACUAUGGAAAACGCCCACACUGGAAGGCAAAAUGCAUUUCUCGCUGCGGUCAGGCCAUGCACCGUUUGGGCUCCCUCCAGAAAAAAAUCAAAUCACUGCACCGGAAACUGUCGGAAGUGUUUACUUGUUCAAAACCGACAGCUAAAGUUUUCAGAAAUUAUAUUUUUGUGAUAGUUUGA